GCGCACCCAGGCGCGAAAACUCCGCAAUGCGCGAAAGCGUGACGGGGUCACCCCGAGUGCCGUCCGCUGAGGAUGGCUUUUGCCUGGUCUAACCAGCCGGGUGAAUAAGGGGAGGGCAAGUCUGGUGUCAGCCGCCGCGGUAAUACCAGCUCCCCGAGUGGUUGGGACGAUUAUUGGGUCUGAAGCAUCCGUAGCCGGCUGGACAAGUCCUCCGUUAAAUCCAGCGAUUCAAUCGUUGGAUCGCGAGGGAUACUGUUCGGCGAGGGGGUGAGAGAGGCCAACGGUACUCCUGGGGUAGGGGUGAAAUCCUAUAAUCCUAGGGGGACCACCAGUGGCGAAGGCGUUCUGCGAGAACGGGCUCGACGGUGAGGGACGAAAGCCAGGGGCGCAAACGGGAUUAGAUACCCCCGUAGUCC
rnacentral:rRNA from 1 species